rnacentral:rRNA from 1 species
UGUUUCGGCUAGGGGGCCAUCCCGGCUUACCAACCCGAUGCAAACUGCGAAUACCGGAGAAUGUUAUCACGGGAGACACACGGCGGGUGCUAACGUCCGUCGUGAAGAGGGAAACAACCCAGACCGCCAGCUAAGGUCCCAAAGUCAUGGUUAAGUGGGAAACGAUGUGGGAAGGCCCAGACAGCCAGGAUGUUGGCUUAGAAGCAGCCAUCAUUUAAAGAAAGCGUAAUAGCUCACUGGUCGAGUCGGCCUGCGCGGAAGAUGUAACGGGGCUAAACCAUGCACCGAAGCUGCGGCAGCGACGCUGAUGCGUUGUUGGGUAGGGGAGCGUUCUGUAAGCCUGUGAAGGUGGCCUGUGAGGGUUGCUGGAGGUAUCAGAAGUGCGAAUGCUGACAUAAGUAACGAUAAAGCGGGUGAAAAGCCCGCUCGCCGGAAGACCAAGGGUUCCUGUCCAACGUUAAUCGGGGCAGGGUGAGUCGACCCCUAAGGCGAGGCCGAAAGGCGUAGUCGAUGGGAAACGGGUUAAUAUUCCCGUACUUGGUGUUACUGCGAAGGGGGGACGGAGAAGGCUAUGUUGGCCGGGCGACGGUUGUCCCGGUUUAAGCGUGUAGGUGUGUGUUCCAGGUAAAUCCGGUUCACUUUAACACUGAGGCGUGA